GCCUAAAGAGAAGCUUGCGGCUGAUUAGCUUGUUGGUGAGGUAAUAGCUCACCAAGGCGACGAUCAGUAUCUGGUUUGAGAGGACGAUCAGACACACUGGAACUGAGACACGGUCCAGACUCCUACGGGAGGCAGCAGUAGGAAAUUUUCCGCAAUGGGCGAAAGCCUGACGGAGCAAUACCGCGUGAGGGAUGACGGCCUAUGGGUUGUAAACCUCUUUUUUCAGGGAGGAAUAAAUGACGUGUACCUGAAGAAUAAGCAUCGGCUAACUCCGUGCCAGCAGCCGCGGUAAGACGGAGGAUGCAAGUGUUAUCCGGAAUCACUGGGCGUAAAGCGUCUGUAGGUGGUCCAAUAAGCCAACUGUUAAAUCUUGAGGCUCAACCUCAAAACCGCAGUCGAAACUAUUAGACUAGAGUAUAGUAGGGGUAAAGGGAAUUUCCAGUGGAGCGGUGAAAUGCGUAGAUAUUG
rnacentral:rRNA from 1 species